GGCUUGUUGAUUAUAAUUUCAGGUCUUACCUGCCCACUGAGGAGAUUAAAUGGCCGCGGUAUAUUGACCGUGCAAAGGUAGCAUAAUCACUAGUUUUUUAAUUGGAAGCUUGCAUGAAAGGUUUGAUGAAAAAAUUUCUGUCUCUAAAAAGAUUUAUUAGAAUUUUAUUUUUAAGUUAAAAAGCUUAAAUUUGUGUAGAAGACGAGAAGACCCUAUAGAGUUUUAUAUAAAUAAUAGUGUUGGGGAUUUGAGGAAUUAAUAUUUCAAGAUUUUAUUUGUAUUUUGCUGGGGUGGUAGAAAAAUUAGACAAACUUUUUUUUAUUGGAAUAUUUAUUUAUAGAUUUAUGAUCCUAUGUUUUAGAUUAUAAGAUUAAAUUACCUUAGGGAUAACAGCGUUAUUUUUUUUAGAGUUCUUAUCAAAAAGGAAGAUUGCGACCUCGAUGUUGGAUUAAAAUUUAUUACUGGUGAAGAGGCUAGUAGAGUUAGGUCUGUUCGACCUUUAAAAUUUUACAUGAUCUGAGUUUAGACCGGCGUGAG
rnacentral:rRNA from 1 species